UACGGGGGGGGGCAAGCGUUGUUCGGAAUUACUGGGCGUAAAGGGCUCGUAGGUGGCCAACUAAGUCAGACGUGAAAUCCCCUCGGCUUAACCGGGGGAACUGCGUCUGAUACUGGAUGGCUUGAGUUUGGGAGAGGGACGCGGAAUUCCAGGUGUAGCGGUGAAAAUGCGUAGAUAUCUGGAGGAACACCGGUGGCGAAGGCGGCGUCCUGGACCAACACUGACACUGAUGAGCGAAAAGCGUGGGGGAGCGAACAGG
rnacentral:rRNA from 1 species